rnacentral:rRNA from 1 species
UACGUAGGGUGCGAGCGUUAUCCGGAUUCACUGGGUUUAAAGGGUGCGUAGGUGGGCAGGUAAGUCAGGGGUGAAAUCUCCGGGCUUAACUCGGAAACUGCCAUUGAUACUAUCUGUCUUGAAUACCGUGGAGGUCAGCGGAAUAUGUCAUGUAGCGGUGAAAUGCUUAGAUAUGACAUAGAACACCAAUUGCGAAGGCAGCUGGCUACACGAAUAUUGACACUGAGGCACGAAAGCGUGGGGAUCAAACAGG